rnacentral:rRNA from 1 species
UUGAAGAGUUUGAUCAUGGCUCAGAUUGAACGCUGGCGGCAGGCCUAACACAUGCAAGUCGAGCGGUAGCACAGAGAGCUUGCUCUCGGGUGACGAGCGGCGGACGGGUGAGUAAUGUCUGGGAAACUGCCUGAUGGAGGGGGAUAACUACUGGAAACGGUAGCUAAUACCGCAUAACGUCGCAAGACCAAAGUGGGGGACCUUCGGGCCUCAUGCCAUCAGAUGUGCCCAGAUGGGAUUAGCUAGUAGGUGGGGUAACGGCUCACCUAGGCGACGAUCCCUAGCUGGUCUGAGAGGAUGACCAGCCACACUGGAACUGAGACACGGUCCAGACUCCUACGGGAGGCAGCAGUGGGGAAUAUUGCACAAUGGGCGCAAGCCUGAUGCAGCCAUGCCGCGUGURUGAAGAAGGCCUUCGGGUUGUAAAGYACUUUCAGCGGGGAGGAAGGCGAUAAGGUUAAUAACCUUGUCGAUUGACGUUACCCGCAGAAGAAGCACCGGCUAACUCCGUGCCAGCAGCCGCGGUAAUACGGAGGGUGCRAGCGUUAAUCGGAAUUACUGGGCGUAAAGCGCACGYAGGCGGUMUGUCAAGUCGGAUGUGAAAUCCCCGSGCUCAACCUGGGAACUGCMUUYGAAACUGGCAGGCUAGAGUCUUGUAGAGGGGGGUAGAAUUCCAGGUGUAGCGGUGAAAUGCGUAGAGAUCUGGAGGAAYACCGGUGGCGAAGGCGGCCCCCUGGACAAAGACUGACGCUSAGGUGCGAAAGCGUGGGGAGCAAACAGGAUUAGAUACCCUGGUAGUCCACGCCGUAAACGAUGUCGAUUUGGAGGUUGUGCCCUUGAGGCGUGGCUUCCGGAGCUAACGCGUUAAAUCGACCGCCUGGGGAGUACGGCCGCAAGGUUAAAACUCAAAUGAAUUGACGGGGGCCCGCACAAGCGGUGGAGCAUGUGGUUUAAUUCGAUGCAACGCGAAGAACCUUACCUGGUCUUGACAUCCACAGAACUUAGCAGAGAUGCUUUGGUGCCUUCGGGAACUGUGAGACAGGUGCUGCAUGGCUGUCGUCAGCUCGUGUUGUGAAAUGUUGGGUUAAGUCCCGCAACGAGCGCAACCCUUAUCCUUUGUUGCCAGCGGUYMGGCCGGGAACUCAAAGGAGACUGCCAGUGAUAAACUGGAGGAAGGUGGGGAUGACGUCAAGUCAUCAUGGCCCUUACGACCAGGGCUACACACGUGCUACAAUGGCAUAUACAAAGAGAAGCGACCUCGCGAGAGCAAGCGGACCUCAUAAAGUAUGUCGUAGUCCGGAUUGGAGUCUGCAACUCGACUCCAUGAAGUCGGAAUCGCUAGUAAUCGUAGAUCAGAAUGCUACGGUGAAUACGUUCCCGGGCCUUGUACACACCGCCCGUCACACCAUGGGAGUGGGUUGCAAAAGAAGUAGGUAGCUUAACCUUCGGGAGGGCGCUUACCACUUUGUGAUUCAUGACUGGGGUGAAGUCGUAACAAGGUAACCGUAGGGGAACCUGCGGUUGGAUCACCUCCUU